GAGUUUGAUCCUGGCUCAGGACGAACGCUGGCGGCACGCCUAACACAUGCAAGUCGAACGGAGAUAUUUUGGUUUACUGAGAUAUCUUAGUGGCGGACGGGUGAGUAACACGUGAGCAACCUGCCUCUGARAGAGGGAUAGCUUCUGGAAACGGAUGGUAAUACCUCAUAACAUAACGAAGCCGCAUGACUUUGUUAUCAAAGAUUUAUCACUCAGAGAUGGGCUCGCGUCUGAUUAGAUAGUUGGUGAGGUAACGGCUCACCAAGUCGACGAUCWGUAGCCGGACUGAGAGGUUGAACGGCCRCAUUGGGACUGAGACACGGCCCASACUCCUACGGGAGGCAGCASUGGGGAAUAUUGCMCAAUGGGGGAAAC
rnacentral:rRNA from 1 species